UACGUAGGUGGCAAGCGUUGUCCGGGUUUACUGGGUGUAAAGGGCGUGUAGCCGGGCUGACAAGUCAGAUGUGAAAUCCGGGGGCUCAACCCCUGAACUGCAUUUGAAACUGUUGGUCUUGAGUAUCGGAGAGGCAGGCGGAAUUCCUAGUGUAGCGGUGAAAUGCGUAGAUAUUAGGAGGAACACCAGUGGCGAAGGCGGCCUGCUGGACGACAACUGACGGUGAGGCGCGAAAGCGUGGGGAGCAAACAGG
rnacentral:rRNA from 1 species